rnacentral:rRNA from 1 species
AAUGGGGGAAACCCUGACGCAGCGACGCCGCGUGAGUGAGGAAGGCCUUCGGGUCGUAAAGCUCUGUCAAAGGGAAAGAAGUGCAUGAUGGCUAAUACCUGUCAUGUUUGACGGUACCCUUAAAGGAAGCACCGGCUAACUCCGUGCCAGCAGCCGCGGUAAUACGGAGGGUGCAAGCGUUGUUCGGAAUCACUGGGCGUAAAGGGCGCGUAGGCGGUUUGAUAAGUCAGAUGUGAAAGCCCACGGCUUAACUGUGGAAGUGCAUUUGAAACUGUCAGACUUGAGUAUCAGAGGGGAAAGUGGAAUUCCCGGUGUAGAGGUGAAAUUCGUAGAUAUCGGGAGGAAUACCGGUGGCGAAGGCGACUUUCUGGCUGAAUACUGACGCUGAGGCGCGAAAGCGUGGGGAGCAAA